rnacentral:rRNA from 1 species
UACGGGGGGUGCGAGCGUUGUCCGGAAUCACUGGGCGUAAAGGGCGCGUAGGUGGCGCGGGAAGUCAACGGUGAAAGUUCAGGGCUCAACCCUGAAUCGGCCGUCGAUACUCCCGGGCUUGAGCACUGUAGAGGCAGGUGGAAUUCCGGGUGUAGCGGUGGAAUGCGUAGAGAUCCGGAAGAACACCGGUGGCGAAGGCGGCCUGCUGGGCAGUUGCUGACACUGAUGCGCGACAGCGUGGGGAGCAAACAGG